GCUGGGCUGGCUCAGUCGGGAGAGCAUGAGACUCUUAAUUUCAGGGCCAUGAGUUUGAGCCUCGGAACUUGCCCUUUAAAGCA